rnacentral:rRNA from 1 species
GGAGGGAGCUAGCGUUGUUCGGAAUCACUGGGCGUAAAGGGCACGUAGGCGGCCGAGUAAGUCGUGUGUGAAAGACCGGGGCUCAACUCCGUGUACUGCAUGCGAUACUGCCCGGCUAGAGAAAGGUAGAGGCGAGUGGAAUUCCCGGUGUAGCGGUGGAAUGCGUAGAUAUCGGGAAGAACACCUGUGGCGAAGGCGGCUCGCUGGGCCUUUUCUGACGCUGAAGUGCGAAAGCGUGGGGAGCAAACAGGAUUAGAUACCCUGGUAGUCCACGCCGUAAACGAUGGGCACUAGGCGUUGGGAGGAUUGACCCUCUCAGUGCCGUAGCUAACGCAUUAAGUGCCCCCGCCUGGGAGUACGGCCGCAAGGCUG